ACUGGAGUUUGAUCCUGGCUCAGGACGAACGCUUGCGGCGUGCCUAAGAAAUGCAAGUCGAACGGGGCUUCGGUCCCAGUGGCGAACGGUCGCGUAACACGUAAGCAACCUGCCCUGAAGUGGGGGACAACAUCCCGAAAGGGGUGCUAAUACCGCAUGUGGUCACGAGUCGGCAUCGACUUGUGUCUAAAGAUUUAUCGCUUCAGGAUGGGCUUGCGGCCUAUCAGGUAGUUGGUGGGGUAAUGGCCUACCAAGCCGACGACGGGUAGCUGGUCUGAGAGGACGAUCAGCCGGAUUGGGACUGAGAUACGGCCCAGACUCCGUACGGGGGGCAGCAAUUAGGAAUCUUGCGCAAUGGGGGAAACCCUGACGCAGCGACGUCGCGUGAAGGAU
rnacentral:rRNA from 1 species